rnacentral:rRNA from 1 species
UACGUAGGGUGCGAGCGUUAAUCGGAAUUACUGGGCGUAAAGCGUGCGCAGGCGGUUCGUUGUGUCGGCGGUGAAAGCCCCGGGCUUAACCUGGGAACGGCCGUUGAAACUGGCGAACUGGAGUGUGGCAGAGGGGGGUGGAAUUCCGCGUGUAGCAGUGAAAUGCGUAGAGAUGCUGAGGAACACCGAUGGCGAAGGCAGCCCCCUGGGCUAACACUGACGCUGAGGCGCGAAAGCUAGGGGAGCAAACGGG